AUAGUGAAAAUUUACACGUGUACCUAGACGACUGAUCUUGAAAUUGAUUAUCUUGAAACGGGUUAACUUUUGUCCAGUGUAUCCCAUGGUCAAAGGGGAAUGCCGAUUUUAGGCCUUGCAAUGCCCAAGAAAUUUAAUUUAGUAAAAAACAAUAUGUAAAUUUUACGUAUUUAACUUUUCUACACACGACGCGAUACAUCUCAGUAACAUUUUUUAAUAAAAAAAGAAUAUUGAAACGAUACAACGAAAUAAACAGACAUUUGCUAGCUUGCCAAUUUAAAAUCCAGGAAAAAACAUUGACAUAUAUUCUAGCGUACGUAGUACAUAUAUAUCGAUGGGAAAAAAUAAAGAUUUCUGUCAGUUGACAAUAAUAGAAAUGUCAUUGUGAUUCUAAGUGAUUCGCUGCGUGUAUUUUGCUAUAAAAAUCGACGUUUUUGACCAUGAACACUGACUCUGGCGAUUCUCCUAUACCUGACGACCACGGCCUGAAUAUGGAUUCCGCUCUUGCUGAUAAUGAGAAAUUGUCUUUUUGAGAACUAAGGGGCUUCGGCUAAUUUUGCCAUAGGCCCCGCGCAUGCUUAAUACGCCACUGAUAAUAAUCAAUUGUAAAUAAUUUGUGUUAUGAUAAGCGAUAAAGAUUUCCUUUAGGCUCAAUUUACACCAAAAGCGCGGCGAAGGGCAGCGAAGCGAAGCGCGGUUUGAGUGUCAUUUGAAUUUUUACUUUAUUCCCAUUACUAUAAUGUAUAUUUUCGCAUGAGAAACUCGAACGAGUCGCGCGGAUGCCCGCGGCGCCGCGGGACUUCCCGCGAAUUCCAUGAACGGAGUCGUGCGACUGCGCGGGAACUCCCGAGAAUGCUCUAGCAGUAGCGAGCGGCCGCUGGCAAUAUCCCGCCCCUCGCGCCCGCUCCCCGCGCGCGUCUGUUGCGAGCGCGCGAGCGAGUGGGUUUUUUCUUUUUAAUCUUUUCUUUUUUCUCAUUAUCUCUUCGGCUUCUUCCUCUUCAAUUAUAUGUACAAUAAUGAUUAAAUCCAAAACACCCAUAUUACUGCUUAAACACAAGUUUAAUCUUGUUUUGUUGAAAGUCAACUGCGCUAGAAGAGCGGCCCGUGAAUUCAUCGCGGGCGGGCUCGAAAAGGCGCGCGCAGUCCCGCGACUUCUCGAGCAUUCCUGCGAAUUCUCGAGCAGUCGCGGGAAUCCACGCGCGUUCUCUACCGAGCGGGUCGCUGCGCUUCGCUGCCCUUCGCCGCGCUUUUGGUGUGAAUUGAG